UGGCGGACGGGUGAGUAACACGUGGGUACCUACCUUGAGGUGAGGAAUACCGGCGAGAAAUCGCCGACAAAACCGCAUAGGCUUGGGCAACCAAGCAAAGUCGCAAGACGCCACAAGAUGGGCCUGCGCCCGAUUAGCUAGUUGGUGGGGUAAAAGCCUACCAAGGCGACGAUCGGUAGCUGGUCUGAGAGGAUGAUCAGCCACACUGGGAUUGAGAACGGCCCAG
rnacentral:rRNA from 1 species